GUGAAGAACGUAGCGAAAUGCGAUAAGUAAUGUGAAUUGCAGAAUUCAGUGAAUCAUCGAAUCUUUGAACGCACAUUGCGCCCUCUGGUAUUCCGGGGGGCAUGCCUGUUCGAGCGUCAUUACAACCCUCAAGCUUUGCUUGGUAUUGGACAUUGCCAGUUUCUGGCAGGUCUUAAAAUCAGUGGCGGUGCCAUUUGGCUUCAAGCGUAGUAAUUCUUCUCGCUUUGGAGAUCCAGGUGGUUACUUGCCAAUAACCCCCAAUUUUUUCAGGUUGACCUCGGAUCAGGUAGGGAUACCCGCUGAACUUAAGCAUAUCAAUAAGCGGAGGA
rnacentral:misc_RNA from 1 species